GCCAAUCCACAAAAUUCCGAAUCACUGCCACAUUACAUCACAACUCAAGUUUACACCAACUACCCUUUUUUUUCCUUCCACUUUUCUUCUCAAAUUGUUCCCAUUUUCACUCUGAUUUACCCCCCACCAAAUGAUGUGUUUCUCUCUGCACUUGCCAACCCUGAACUCAUAGGGUCUUUCUCUGUGUUCUUUCAGAUCAUUUUCUCUUUGUCGUUUCCUAUUUUCAGGUUUUAGUUUGAAUGGGGAUUCAGACAAUGGGAUCUCAAGGUAAUGGGCAACAGUCUCAUUUACAGUCUUCAUCUUUGUCUAGGCAAGGUUCAUGGUAUAAUCUUACUCUUGAUGAGGUUAGUAGUCAAUUAGGAGACUUAGGGAAGCCAUUGGGUAGCAUGAACCUUGACGAGCUUCUUCAAAAUGUGUGGACUGCUGAAGCAAGUAAGUCUUCGCUGAUAGGUGCGGAUAGUGAGAACAUUUCGUCCUCUUCCUCCCUUCAGCGGCAGGCCAGCCUGACGCUGGCUCGUGCGUUGAGUGGGAAGACUGUGGAUGACGUGUGGAGGGAAAUUCAGCAAGGGCAGAAGAAAAGGUAUGGAGGGGAAGUGAAAACUCAGGAGGGAGAAAUGACUUUUGGUGAGACAACCUUGGAAGAUUUCUUGGUGCAAGCAGGGCUUUUUGCUGAAGCUUCUAUCAGUCCAGCUGUUGGGUUGGAUACAAUGGAUUUCUCAGCAGCUCAAGGUUUCCAGCAGAAAACGGGCUUGUCAUCAUCCCCUUCUAUUGGCAGUUUAUCAGACACGAGACCGGGCAGGAAAAGGGAUGCUCCUGAUUCAUAUGAGAAAACCCUCGAGAGGAGGUUGAGGAGGAAGAUCAAGAAUAGGGAAUCUGCUGCUAGGUCACGAGCUCGUAAACAGGCUUACCAUAAUGAACUGGUUGGCAAGGUUUCCCGUCUAGAAGAAGAAAAUGUAAAGCUAAAGAAAGAGAAGAUACAUUACAAGGUAAAGGUAUACCUUAUAGCACUCAACCCUUAGGCUGGGUACAUACAUACACCGAAAAUGCAUGUCAUCAUCAUUGUUGGCAGUGGAGAAGAAGGUGCUAAGUUGGUCCAUUGUUGGGAAAUCCUUCAGGUCCAGCAGAUUCAGACUUUUGAAUUGCAGAUUUAGGAUUUUGGUUCACCUCUAUUCUUUCCCUCUCAGCUUCAGCUUUGUUAUAUUACCCUUUUGAAUUAUUUUUUUCAUUUUUUGAUCCAAAAGAUAAAUUUGGGAAUAUAAAAGACUCAUCAUCUUCCUCUCUUAAACUCUCUCCCUAAAGAUGAGGAUGGUUAAAAUAGUUAAGUUACUCAUUAAAGGUAACAUCCCUUGAUGCAAAUUUUUGAAAGGAGGAUGAAAGCACUUCUACCUUGUGAAAACACAUUUAACAGCGCUUUGUGUCUAGUUUUUAUUCCCUUUUGCUGUUUAUGAAUGUACAAAUGAGACAUACCCAAAUAUACAAAUUACGGUGCCUUUACCAAGAUGACUCCCUCCAAGGCCUUAUGAUCAUGAAUGGGGAACAAAAGUUGGAGGUUCAGCCAGAUUUGGUGUGAACCUUAGGGUAGGUUCACGAGUAGAAUUGGAAGUGUGCUGAUAAAGUGCAAGUAGCUCCCAGAGUGUGAGAACAGUUGGGAAUCACAUCCAGAACCCAAGAAGCAUUUCCAGAAUUUCCCCUUGAGGGCGAUGACUUUUAGGGGGCCAGGGGGCGGGAUUGAAAAGGGGCCCAGGCCCAAAAUAUAUAAGGUGUAUGGAAAAGAAAAAAAAGAAAAGAUGCAGGUAAUCAUAACCCUGAUAUAGAUAGUUUGAACAACAUUGUGAAUUGGGCAUCAGAAGCGAGAGGGGACCAUUUUUUGUGGAGUAUUCACGGAACCUAGUUGCGGGAGGGUGCAGGGCGCUCAAAAUCCCUCUAAAGGAAUUUGAAGAAAGGUUUACUCCCGAUCCAUUGCCUGAACCAAAAUAUCAACUUAAAAGACAUAACUCUGCCCCUUUCUGACAUCUGCAAUGGAGUUUUCUGGCUAUUCAUGUUCUUGAUUUGAUGAGGAUAUGUCCAGGACUAUAUCACUGCAAUGGUCAUUGCUGUUGCCACUGCUUUGCAUUUUCUCUGGCAAAGGACUGUUUGCUCUAUAUCUACAAUUAGCUAACUAUAGGGAACAUACGCAGCAAAGGUUUGAUGUUCAUAAGCUUUAGCUUUGGUUGGAAACGGUAUCAAGAAAUAUUGGAAGCGAAUGGAAACCUGAAAGUUAGUUACCUUUUUGUAUAAUGGUUAUAUGUGUGUAUUAGGGCAAUUGUUAAGCAGUUAAGUUAUUGAAAGGUCACUAGAAAAAAGCUGAAACUAGGUAAGGUAGGUAUUGUUAGCAGUUCUGAACUGCAAUAUUGUAUUAGAUUAAAUUGAUAUCUGUCUAUAAGUUUUUAAGGGAUAUCAAGUUAUGAGAAUUAGUGUGCUCUGUAGAGAUAGUUUUCCAGAAAAGAUGAAAUAACAAAAGAAACGUUUGUUUAUUAUGUUUUCUACUGCAGUUUGCCACUA